GACGAACGCUGGCGGCGUGCUUAACACAUGCAAGUCGAACGGAAAGACCCUGCUUUUGUGGGGUGCUCGAGUGGCGAACGGGUGAGUAACACGUGAGUAACCUGCCCUUGACUUUGGGAUAACUUCAGGAAACUGGGGCUAAUACCGGAUAGGAGCUCCUGCUGCAUGGUGGGGGUUGGAAAGUUUCGGCGGUUGGGGAUGGACUCGCGGCUUAUCAGCUUGUUGGUGGGGUAGUGGCUUACCAAGGCUUUGACGGGUAGCCGGCCUGAGAGGGUGACCGGCCACAUUGGGACUGCGAUACGGCCCAGACUCCUACGGGAGGCAGCAGUGGGGAAUAUUGCACAAUGGGCGGAAGCCUGAUGCAGCAACGCCGCGUGCGGGAUGACGGCCUUCGGGUUGUAAACCGCUUUCGCCUGUGACGAAGCGUGAGUGACGGUAAUGGGUAAAGAAGCACCGGCUAACUACGUG
rnacentral:rRNA from 1 species